rnacentral:tmRNA from 1 species
GGGGCCGUACUUGGCUUCGACGGGGAUCAGUCUUGGACGGAUAAGCAAGCCGCAGUGCCCAAAGCUGCGCUAAAAAAGUGGGACUUAAAAUUAAACGCUAAAGAAGAUAAUUUCGAAUUAGCUGCUGCCUAAGGGCGGCCUGUCGCACGAAGAAGCUCCUAUCGGUCUCCGGGCGGCAUCAAACAAGAUAGGGUACUGCCCUGCCUGCGGUCUUGAAGGCAGGGACGGAGCUUUCAAGACUACCCGGCGCGACCCAGCGGGAAAGGGGCGUGUUCAGGGGAAAUUUAAAAUUUUCCGCUAAGCUUGUAGAAAAUCCGUUUCGGAGGUUCUCAGACAGGGGUUCGA